rnacentral:lncRNA from 1 species
UGGGGAUGCCAGCAUGUUUUGUCAGAUCAGGAAGAGUGGAGAAACUGUGCCCCAAGCUUGAAAAAUGGAGGAGUUACAAUUUAAGAACUCAUGAGAAUUUCUACAACCAAAGGGAAAAAAGGGGCUGAAGCACCUAUUCCAGGGAUUAGCAACAAGACCUCACUUGGAAAAUCACAAGCACCUGAAUGUAAGAUGUUUGGAGUAAGACGAGACUAAAGGCAAGAAGACCAACCAGAAGUCUAGGUAUGAAGUAAUCAAGGGUCUAUACCAGGGAAGCAUCUAUGUGAGUGGAAAGAAAGGUAUGACAUAUAUGGGAGACGUUGGGAAGAUAUAAACAAUAUGACUCGAGGGCAGAUUGGAUGCAUGGGUUGAGUGCGGAGUCAAGGUUGACAAAACAUUUCAGGCAUGAGUGACUGAGAAGAUGGUAGUAUCCUAAAUGGUUAACAGUAAAGUUGAGAAAAGGGAUGGGUUUGGGGGUUGGGGAGGGAAUAAUAAGUUCUAUAUUGUAUAAGUUGAAUUUGAGAUACCUGUGGGACAAGCAUUUUAAGAAUUCCAAAAGGUAAUUAAUAAUGUGGGACUGGAGUUUAGAAG